UGGGGAAUAUUGGACAAUGGGCGCAAGCCUGAUCCAGCCAUGCCGCGUGAGUGAUGAAGGCCUUAGGGUUGUAAAGCUCUUUCACCGAUGAAGAUAAUGACGGUAGUCGGAGAAGAAGCCCCGGCUAACUUCGUGCCAGCAGCCGCGGUAAUACGAAGGGGGCUAGCGUUGUUCGGAAUUACUGGGCGUAAAGCGCACGUAGGCGGAUAUUUAAGUCAGGGGUGAAAUCCCAGAGCUCAACUCUGGAACUGCCUUUGAUACUGGGUAUCUUGAGUAUGGAAGAGGUAAGUGGAAUUCCGAGUGUAGAGGUGAAAUUCGUAGAUAUUCGGAGGAACACCAGUGGCGAAGGCGGCUUACUGGUCCAUUACUGACGCUGAGGUGCGAAAGCGUGGGGAGCAAACA
rnacentral:rRNA from 1 species